UACGGAGGGUGCGAGCGUUGUCCGGAAUCAUUGGGCGUAAAGGGCGCGUAGGCGGCGGGUCAAGUCGAGUGUGAAAGCCCCGGGCUCAACCUGGGAGGUGCGCUCGAGACUGGUCUGCUAGAGUUCGGGAGAGGAGCGUGGAAUUCCCAGGUGUAGAGAUGAAAUUCGUAGAUAUUGGGAAGAACACCGGUGACGAAGGCGGCGCUCUGGACCGAGACUGACGCGUGAGGCGCGAAAGCGUGGGGAGCAAACAGG
rnacentral:rRNA from 1 species